rnacentral:rRNA from 1 species
UACGAAGGUGGCAAGCGUUGUUCGGAUUUACUGGGCGUACAGGGAGCGUAGGCGGUUGGAUAAGCCCUCCGUGAAAUCUCCAGGCUUAACCUGGAAAGUGCAGAGGGGACUGUUCAGCUAGAGGAUGGGAGAGGAGCGCGGAAUUCCCGGUGUAGCGGUGAAAUGCGUAGAGAUCGGGAGGAAGGCCGGUGGCGAAGGCGGCGAUCUGGGAAGAUACUGACGCUGAGGUGCGAAAGCGUGGGGAGCAAACAGG